AGUUGUGUGGCCGAGUGGUUUAAGGCGGCAGACUUAAGUUCUGCUCUCUCUGAGAUCGUGGGUUCGAACCCCACCGCAACUA